AAGUUGUUCAGCCAGCAACCUCUGGCUUUCCCCAAAGAUCCCUAGUGGAGUGCUCAAGUAUCUUGUUGGCUCUUCGCUUGUACGCGUGGAAGACUCAGCAUCCAUUUCCGGGUGACAUCGUGUCUACCACUGCUGCCACCACAGCCCCUUGGGAAAUGUAGUCUCAGAUCGUGCACAGCCUGAGCCUACUUCACUCCCCCCACCCCCCCCCACCCCCGUCCUAAGGAAGCAUCUUUUCCCGCGCGUCGCGCGCGGAGCGCGGGUGGCAGAAACGGAAGUUACGUGCCGCGGUCUGAUUUCUUAGAACCCUAGCUGUCUAGCAUAUGUAACUGAGGAUGACUGAAUUAAUACGAGGCCUCUGCGCGAGUACUGGGAUUACAGAUGAUGCUGUCAGAAAUGUACUCCCUGUGAAGAGAUAAUCUGAGCCCUUUUGUACCAAUGAGAUUAUUAAGAAUAUAGUUUUAAAAUCAUGAUAAAAUCUUGGCUGUCCUGUUCAAGAUUCACAAGCCCACCAGGAUGAAUCAGUGUUUCCACGGAUGCCUUUGGGAGGCAGCUGGAAAGCCUUGACUCAAACCAAGGAUCUUAGACGUACUAACAGUUACUCUACCACUGAACUAUAUCUCUGGCUCUGAGGAAGACAACUUUUACAAAAUGUUGUACUGUUUGCUGGAUUCUAUGACCUCAGAGAGAAGAGGAGGGGGCUCUUCUAGUGAUAAUGGUGUCCAGUACAUGAGGAUGCUUGCUUUUACAGCUGAUCCUACAAGUUGAUAUCAGUUUGCAUCUGAAUUUCUGCCCAGGAAAAUGAAGGACAAGAGCGUACGUUGACCCACCAGGGUGUGUUACUGUGCUUCUGUAGUCUCAGCAUCCAGGGUGUGGCUUCAGCAUGAACAGGCUAUCAAAGGCACAGGCUGAGGGAACAGGGCCAGUGGGCCAUGGACUGAAACAUUUGAAGCUGAUUCUGAGUAAUUAAUGCUUCCAUGAAUAUCUCAGAAGGACAGAUGAACAAAGAAAGGAACAGGUAUCUAACUCUAUUAGGACCCCACCUGGUAACUGCUUAUCUUAGUGCAUUGAUAAGCUCCCUGCCUGUGCAGGACCCCCUCCAGGUAACUGCUUAUCUUAGUGACUAAGCUCCUUGCCUGUGCAGCCCCCCCCCCUCCAGGUAAGUACUUAUCUUAGUGACUUUUAAACUGCCUUCUGCUGUGCAGGCCCCCUUCCUGGUAACCACUUAAUAGUCACUUUUAAACUCUCUGCUUCUGUGAAGCUCCCCUGUAACUGCCAACUGAAAUGCCAGGAUUUAGAUUUUGAUUUCAAAAACCUUGUGCUCUGGACACUCAGUCUGUUGUUACUAGGUGUCCAAAUACUUGGGUUUAGUUCUAGCCAGCUGGAAUAAAGACUUUCAGUUGGGUAUAAAUUGUCUUGAAUUGUCUUCUCUGGUGGGCCCCUGGUAACUCAGGCUCACAGUUUGCUUACUCAAUUUUCCUUUCUCUUCCUCCUUCCUUCCAUGGCAAAAUAUAAUUUUUUUUAAUAAAAGACUAUCAGAAUAUGAGUCUAAAUUUCUACUGCAAUGAACAUCAGAAGGGUUUCAGUUGCAAAUGCCUGCAGGAUCCAGAUGUGGUACAUAUGUGACAUGGUUCCUGGUUGGACCACAGUGAUCACUGAGUAAGAGCUUCAUCCUUGCAUUCUGGUGUCUGCUAUUAUGGUUGGUAUUGACUUUUUCAUUUUCAUCCUUGUCUACAUUAAUAGGUAUGCUUCCACAUUUCCUGUCUACACACUCCCAAGCUCAUAUUUCCUUUUCCUUCUUAUAUACUUGAUCUCUAUUAUCCCAUGCAAAAUCUGUUAAUGUAUGACAAAGAGAAUACACCUUAAUCAACCUCUUCAGCACCCUUUAUUAGUUACUUUUCUAGAACUGUGAACAAAAUGUCAUGUCCAAAUGCAAAUUCGAGAAGAAAAGGGUUUAUUUUUUUGCUCUCAGCUCCAAAAGCAUAUAUAUAUGCUUUUGGAGCAUAUAUAUAUAUAUAUUCCAUGGAAUAUAUAUAUAUAUUCCAUGGCAGGCAGGGAGUCGUGUGGUCCAGCUUGGGGAAGCAGAACGAGUACCCGAAGUAAGGCCCUAAUGGUAUGCCUCUAUGGAGGUUCCAUCCCAAAAGGUGUCCCGUAACAUUCUCAACUGGUACCGCCACCUGAGUUCAAAUCCAUGAGCCUAUGAGGACAGUGCUUUUUCAAGCCACAACAAAGAGUAAAACCUGCAUCUUGUUAGAACAUGGUAAUUUUAUUUGAAAGGACCUCCCUCUUCACUGAUGCAUGCAGAGCUAUUAAGAAAAAAAGACCACUUGGCAAUUGUGAAAACUUGAAAUUUCAGAGAUGGAUUGUGAAUGGUCCGCUGACACAGUUAUGGAGGUGAAGCUGCUGUAAGGGGAACUACAAAGUCUGGAUUACAGACAGCAGUUUUAGAAAGGACUCUUAAGGCGCAAAUGCUAGAGGGUGCAGUUUAUAGGAGAAUGUAGGGCAUGAAUCAACAAACUGGAAGUAAAUGCAGUGCUUUUGAGCCUUGUUGCAGAAUACCAUUUGGUUUCCUUAGUUGCAGAGUGGGCAGUUAACAAGAAUAGCACAUGGCUUAAGUGGUCCUGGACCAAUCUGAGGCCAGGAGUAGACUCUGUCUGUGAAGCCUUAGUAUAAACAGUAUUUAUGUUUUUACUUUGAUUUCAUUUGGUUUCAAACAAGAUCUAGCCAUGUAUUCCUUGAAUAUCUGCAAAUGCUCCUAACUUGGAGCCCUAACUUGGAGCAAUCCUGCUUCUACCUCCCUGUUGCUAUGAUUAAGGACAUGGGCUACUAAACAUGGCACAAAUUCGUGGCUUAGUUCAGUGGUAGAGCAUUUGCCUAGCAGGUAAGGUUCAACUGACAAUAUGAGAAGGGGUGAGUAUAAUAUUUUACAAGUACAUGUGUUCACUUAUCAGAACGAGCUGAGUGAAAGUUAGCAACAUGUAAGUCUUUUUUGGACACAGGGUUUCGCUCUUUGUCCUUGGCUAUCCUGUAACGGGAGCAUACUGUCCCACCUAUCUCAUUUUUCUUUUGAAUAUAAUUUGCUAAGUAUAGGAUCCAUAGCUAUUCUUAGAUGUUAUCAGUAUUUUAAUAGAUUUAACAAUCACUUUUCUCAUGACUAUCUCAUUUUUCUUUUGAAUAUAAUUUGCUGAGGAUAGGAUCCAUAGCUAUUCUUCGAUGUUAUCAGUAUUUUAACAGAUUUAACAAUCACUUUUCUCAUGACUAGUCCCUCAGAGAAGCAAAGCUGCUUUAUAUUUACCCUUGUUUUAAGGUAGACGACUAGGUGAAAGGAAAACAACCAGCCCCACCAGAAAAGAAGUGGCUCUUUUCAGAUACAUACUAACCUUGUUUCCUGGUUUUGUGUGUGUGAACCAUUCCUUUCCAUAUUGCUCCUGUCUUUACACACAUAACAUAGUAAAUGCUUAUAGUGUGGUUGACUACUUACAUACACCACUAACAGUUAAAAAUCCCCAGGUUCUAGAAUCAGAAGAAAGUAUGUUAAAGACGUGGGGUUUUUUUUUCAGCAACAAAAUAAACUUUGCAGAAAAAGAUUGGCCAGUGCAUUUGAAGGUAGCUGCAGAUUCUGUUUAUAAUUCUUUUUCAGUUCGGUAAUGAAAGCUGAAUAUUACCAUAAUCACUGCUCACUGCUGAAAGCUUAUGUUCGUUACUGUGACACCACCCAGCUGAUGUCUUUGACAACCAGAGAAGCGUUACCCAACAGUAAACGACAGUCUCCGAUCUCUCCCUUUUGGCUUGGUCAUCAGAUACUACCUGGAAUUUGUUUGGGGACAAAGAUUGCGGGAGUCAAUAUUGUACUUUAGGAGUCUUGCUUAAUUCUUCUAUCUUGGGGAUGGUUGGGAUAGGUCAUAGGUAUGGAAAACAUCUGACUUUCAAAUGUUUUCCCAAUAAAUUCACAAGGUAAUUUUUAGUCAAGGUUUAUGUCUUAUCAUGAAUCUUUCCACCUCUUUCUUACGUGUCUUAACGGAAUUUUUGUUCUUUACACCUUCCUUUCUGUUACCCCACCCCAAUAUGUUUCAGCAAUCUCUCUUCCUUUCCCUGUUCAGACAUGGAUCAGUGAAACCGGCAUUGUGAAUAAAGAGUUUGAAUUUCGGGAGUGGAAUCCAUGAUGCUCUCAGCAUGUAAUGGCAGGAGUGGCGCACAAAGAGGAUAUAGAGGAAGGCUGUCCAAAGAACAAAUGCUUGACAUUUUGGCAGAUAUUGGACCACUAAGCUCUUAUCAAUGAAAGGAGACUGUUUGGUUCCCCUAGGGAGAAAGCGAUGAAGGUGUCGCUCAUCAGUGGGUCCAGGACCUGAAGGAACAAGAGAAACAAUACCCAGUGGACAACAAUGUGGCAUAUUGGGUGAAAACUAUUGAAAAAUGUCAUGUUCUUUGAUAAAUACUAUAUAGUCUACAUCGGAUAUGGACUUUACUGGAUUUAUUUAGACACUGCCAUAUUACUCUACUUUUGGAGCCUGGUUAAUUUUUUUAUAGUAUGUAACAUUUUAAUCAUUUUCUUGAGAAUUAACUUCUACCAAGGAAUUCUUUUAUUUGAAGACUUCAUAAAGGUGCUUUUGAAUUAUUCACAUUACAGUUACACAAAUCAUAAUCCUCCCAGUAGUGAAUAAAUGUGAAUAUUUCUUUAAACCAUCAGAAUAUAACCUGUUUAUAAGGUUCUAGUCUAGUAACUACACAAGUAAUGUGUCUUUCUUCAGAUGCUCCUGUCACUUUAGUAUCUGCUCUUAGUCACUGGGGAUUGUUGGUUUAUGGAGAGGAACUGUGUUACCCUGACUGGCCUUCAAUUGUACAGUAGAAUUACAGGUGGACGCCACCAUACCCAGCAAUCGGAGUCUACGCAAAUGAGUGAAUUUUCCUAUGGAGGCUGGAGGUUUUCUAUGCAGCUGGAAUUGCAAGCAGUUAUAAACUUCCUGACAUGGAUGCUGGGAAUGCAAAUUAUGUCCAGUGUAAGAACACUAUGCCCUUCUAAUCACUAGGUGAUCCCUCUGGCACCUUGGGUACAAGUUUUGUGUGAUAAGCUAACCAUGGGAGCGAGUUCAAUUUUUUUUUUUCAGUUUUCAUGUAAGGUAAUUUUAAUAGCUCUCUGAAAAUUUUAGCAAUUAGGGUUUGGUCUCAAUUCCUUCAGGGCAUUCGGUACUUGAGAGUUUAUUUUUUUUGUCUGAGUACCUCUCUGCUUAAGUGUGCUUUGCUGCCCCUUUUAUUGGAUGUUCCCUCAUCUGUUGAACUUUCAGAUUUUUCAUUCAAACUUGGCAAAAAAAACUUUUGUAAAUUAUAUUGUUGAGUAAUAUGUUCUCCCCGCUAUUUCUUGUAUUUUAUAUUUUUACCUGUCGUUUAAAGCUGAUGUUUAGUUACUAAAUUUUUGGAAUCAUACAGCAUUGUUUGGUACACUGUAUAAGAACCUUUAUAAAUAGUUUCACCCAGGGAGUGUAUCUUAGAUUAUAUUUGUUUGUUUUGUUUUUUCAAGACCUGGUUGUUCUAGCUGUACCAAUUUAAAGUACUUUUUUGGAUUAAAGUAGACUCUAUUCUAUCAUUUUUGUGCCCUCUCUUUUCUUUUUAGAACGAAAUCCCCGAUUCUAAUCUGUAUUUUGGGAAUGUCGGUAUAGUUCUUCCUGCGAUUUGUGGGCUGUGGUAGUCUUUGGGAUACCCUGAGAAAACAGCUGGAACUGUUAAGCAGAGAAACCUUGUCUCACGAAAAAAAUUAAGAUUACAUUGAGUUAACCUUUAGCUUUAAAGUCAAAAUCAAUAAAUAACGGCUGAUGGCCCUACAGUC